UCUCUCUGCAAAAGGAGAAGCUGGACUCAGUUCUGUGAAGGAAGCUGCAGAAGAAAAAGGUGAAAGAGGUGAGGAAGCUGCAGAAGAAAACCUGGAAGUUAGCAGAGCUUGAUCCAGAGGUUUAAGGAAAGAAGCCAUCUCCAUAACAUAAAAGUGCAAGGUGAAGCAGCAAGUGCUGAUGGGGAAGCUGCAGCAAGUCAUCCAGAAGAUCUUGCUAAGGGUAUGCACAGAUGUGGAAACAGGAACUGAUGUGUCCAUUACACCACUAGGACAGAGGCCAGAACAAUGAAGAAACCAAAUACUUGGAAGAGGGUAGAGAUAAUGAAUGGAGUCCAAGAGCCCUGAUUGUGCCAUAAAUGUCCAGAUAAUUCCAUACCUGAGGAUUAUGUGGUUUGUAAACUUGGCACUUAGAAGAACCAAUAAAAUCAUGUUAUAGUUUC
rnacentral:lncRNA from 1 species